CUGGAGAAAGCUGCUUCCAAGAAGUUGAAGAUAUGAAAAUUGUGGAACUUGAGAAGCGCCUGAUUAGCCUAAAUUCCGGUGAUAAGAAUGCUGUAAGAUCAGUGAUUGAAGAAUUUUCUUCAGAAGUCAAACCUGAUGAAGACAGUAUCUUAAACAAAGAUUUUCAGGCAUCCAGUAAUUGAUGAAUGCUUCUCUAAAAAUUCCAUUGAAGAAAUUAUUAAAUCUUUGGAAGCUGAAGCAAACAAAGAAGGAAAUGAAUGGAUAGCUACAGUUUUGAAAGGAAUGAAAAGAACAUCACCGACCGCAUUGAAAAUAGUAUUAAGAUCGGUUCGCGAAGGAAGGAAUGAAACACUGUCUGAAUGUCUAAAACAGGAAUUUAGAUUAACAAUGAAUAUACUACGAAGUACAAUAUCUGAGGAUAUGUAUGAGGUAUUAGUGAUGGUGAAGCUGGUUAUUGAACGAGUUCUGGUGCUGUGGACGCAGUUGAACACGUGUUGGAGUUUGUGACUGAUUCUCUUGAUCAAUUUGGAAAGCUUGCUGACGUGGUGAUUGCUGCAAUAUCUGUGAAUGCAUUAAAGCAGCAGUCCUGGUUUUUUUUUUUUUUUUGUGUAUUCUCAUAAGAUUUUGUGACUAUUUUUAGCUUAGUUAGCUGAUGCAUAGAAGAAUGAAGACUCCUUUGUUGCAAACUUUUUUGGAAUAAUUUAUAGUGACAAUAAUUUAUUUACAGCCAGUAAAAUUGUAUAAUAUAUAUGAAGACUUUGAUAUUCUUACAUAUAUUAUUGUUCCUUCAUGCCAUUAUCUUUCCCUAAAUGCUAGUCAGUUAUGAGCUUGGGGGGAGCAGCAACAGAAGAAGAUGCAAAUCUCAUAGCCAAAUUAUUUGGAUCAAUUGGCAAAAUAUGGAAAGCUGAUGAAAAGUAUUUUGAUGCUGUAACUGGUCUGAGAUUGGAAAUUGUUUCUAAUUGUAAUCUGCACACAACAAACAAGGAUUCAGUAAUUGAGGAACUUGUUUCUAGCAUGGGAGUUUGUCUGAGUGCCCAAGUUAAAGUUGAGAGCCCCUACAACACUGCCUCAGUUCGUUUAAUGUUUGUUUCUGAAAGGCUUAGCACUAAGAUUGAGAGAAUAAUGAAAAGAGGAGAAAAUGAAUUCUGCAGAAUAUAGAAAUUAUGAUAUUGAAUAUAACAUACUUCAUGAUUGGGAUGACGAAGAAUGCUUGAAGAUAUUAAAGAAUUGCUGGAAGGCUAUACACCGAAUGAUGGGAAGGUGAUUGUGGGGAACAAAGUUCUUCCUGCAGUGCCAGAGCAGACAGAUGUUGCUAAGAUGGCUUUCAGGUAUGAUGUUUUCAUGAUGUUUCAAACGCCAAAAGGGAAGGGACGAACCUACCAAGAUUUGUAAAUCCCACCUUAGUAAAUCUGUAUAAUGAUUGUCAAAUUUGGUAAACUAAUUAGAUAGCAUUGUAUUUUUUGCUCAAGUUGAAAAGCUUGUUGAGAAAUUAGAGUUUUGAACUUGAGAUUUAUUUUGUGUUUGAGUAUUAAUGUAUAAAACAAUUAUAGCAAAAAUUAUGUCACUAAUUACUAUUUGAUUUGUCUUGUAAUAAAAAUUUCAUACUGGUUUGGUAAUAAAAAAGGACUGAAAAUUUAUAUUGUGUAGUGAAUGUAAAAUAAAAAAAAAAAGAUUUUUCUUUUAAUUUGAUAAGGCUAUUGUCACGUUUUAAAAGCGUGGCUGUAUCUCUCCCUAUCGCCACGCUUUAAAAGCGUGGCUUUAUCUCCCACCUACAGCCACCCUUUUAAAAGUGGCAAUUUGUAAAAAAGCAUGGCAAAGAAAAGCAUAGCGAUAGGCUGAAAAAAGCGUGAGCAACCGCUAUUCUUUCAGAGAUCACCCAUUCAAAAGCGUGGCGAUAGAGCAACUGCUAUUCUUUCAGAGAUCACCCUUUCAAAAGCGUGGCAAUAGAUGUGUUUUCUUGUAGUAAUAAUUUAAUAGUAUAUCUAGUAAUUGAUUUUAAUUUCUUUACCAUCAUUAUAUUCAACAAAUUAACAAAUAAUAUUAAGUUGUCGUUGCCAAUACGGUAUGAUACUCUUGCAAAUAUUGGGAACUUGGAAAUUCGGAUGAGGUGCAUAUGCUCUUUUCCUGUCAUAGUGUCAUUGUUAUUCACAAAGGAGUUUAAUAUUUUUUAAUUGCUACAACCUAAAUGCUUACAUAGUUAAUUAUAUAUUUGUUUAUUACUUUACUUAUGAAUGUGUAAAGGUAAUACUUUGUUUUAAGUUUUAAUUAUAUACUCUAUUUAAUUUUAAUACUUCAAUUUAGUUGUUGUUGGUUAUGAAUAUAAUAAAUUGUGGUGUCAAUUUUAUUUGUUCUUUGUUUUUAGCUAUAAGCAACAUUUUUGCUAA